GAUGAAGAACGUAGCGAAAUGCGAUAAGUAGUGUGAAUUGCAGAAUUCAGUGAAUCAUCGAAUCUUUGAACGCACAUUGCGCCCCUUGGUAUUCCAUGGGGCAUGCCUGUUCGAGCGUCAUUUGUACCUUCAAGCUUUGCUUGGUGUUGGGUGUUUGUCUCGCCUUUGCGUGUAGACUCGCCCUAAAAUAAUUGGCAGCCGGCGUAUUGAUUUCGGAGCGCAGUACAUCUCGCGCUUUGCACUCAUAACGACAGCGUCCAAAAGUACAUUUUACACUCUUGACCUCGGAUCAGGUAGGGAUACCCGCUGAACUUAAGCAUAUCAAUAAGCGGAGGA
rnacentral:misc_RNA from 1 species